GAUGAACGCUGGCGGCGUGCCUAAUACAUGCAAGUCGAGCGAACAGACGAGGAGCUUGCUCCUCUGACGUUAGCGGCGGACGGGUGAGUAACACGUGGAUAACCUACCUAUAAGACUGGGAUAACUUCGGGAAACCGGAGCUAAUACCGGAUAAUAUAUUGAACCGCAUGGUUCAAUAGUGAAAGACGGUUUUGCUGUCAAUUAUAGAUGGAUCCGCGCCGCAUUAGCUAGUUGGUAAGGUAACGGCUUACCAAGGCAACGAUGCGUAGCCGACCUGAGAGGGUGAUCGGCCACACUGGAACUGAGACACGGUCCAGACUCCUACGGGAGGCAGCAGUAGGGAAUCUUCCGCAAUGGGCGAAAGCUUGACGGAGCAACGCCGCGUGAGUGAUGAAGGUCUUCGGAUCGUAAAACUCUGUUAUUAGGGAAGAACAAAUGUGUAAGUAACUAUGCACGUCUUGACGGUACCUAAUCAGAAAGCCACGGCUAACUACGUG
rnacentral:rRNA from 1 species